rnacentral:rRNA from 1 species
GUGAGGAAUUUUCCGCAAUGGGCGAAAGCCUGACGGAGCAAUGCCGCGUGAAGGAUGAAGGCCUAUGGGUUGUAAACUUCUUUUCUCAGAAAAGAAUUAUGACGGUAUCUGAGGAAUAAGCAUCGGCUAACUCUGUGCCAGCAGCCGCGGUAAGACAGAGGAUGCAAGCGUUAUCCGGAAUGAUUGGGCGUAAAGCGUCUGUAGGUUGUUUAAAAAGUAUUCUGUCAAAGAUUAGGGCUUAACCCUAGAUAGGCAGAAUAAACUUUUAAGCUAGAGUUUGGUGGAAGCAGAGGGAAUUCCCGGUGGAGCGGUGAAAUGCGUAGAUAUCGGGAGGAGCACCAAAGGCGAAGGCACUCUGCUGGGCCAAUACUAACACUGAGAGACGAAAGCGAGGGGAGCAAAUGGGAUUAGAUACCCGAGUAGUCC